UACAGAGGGUGCGAGCGUUGUCCGGAAUCACUGGGCGUAAAGGGCGCGUAGGUGGCGCGACAAGUCAAUGGUGAAAGCUCGACGCUCAACGUCGAGUCGGCCACUGAUACUGUCGGGCUCGAGCACUGUAGAGGCAGAUGGAAUUCCGGGUGUAGCGGUGGAAUGCGUAGAGAUCCGGAAGAACACCGGUGGCGAAGGCGGUCUGCUGGGCAGUAGCUGACACUGAGGCGCGACAGCGUGGGGAGCAAACAGG
rnacentral:rRNA from 1 species